rnacentral:rRNA from 1 species
UACGUAGGGUGCAAGCGUUGUCCGGAAUUAUUGGGCGUAAAGAGCUCGUAGGCGGUCUGUCACGUCGGAUGUGAAAAUCCAGGGCUUAACCCUGGACCUGCAUUCGAUACGGGCAGACUAGAGUUCGGUAGGGGAGACUGGAAUUCCUGGUGUAGCGGUGAAAUGCGCAGAUAUCAGGAGGAACACCUAUUGCGAAGGCAGCUCGCUGGGACGUAACUGACGCUGAGACGCGAAAGCGUGGGGAGCAAACAGG